ACUAAGGUGUCAGUAAAGUUCUACACACACCUUUAUGGUUCUACAGGUUCUUAAUGAUGUGUUUAUGUGGGCGGUGUCUAUGCACAGCAAGCUCAACUUGUGACCUUGCGACAAUAACAACUAUUCAAAGAGCAGCCCACAUUUUCUUUUACCAAGCAGACACACUUACGAUUCCUGGGAAAUCAACAGGAACUGCGGAAAAAGUUCUCACACAAUAUGGGAGAGUGGGGAUUUUGUGUAUCCCUGGAAACAACCAGAAUUCAUGUAAAUAUAACAGUUUUGAAAACAUAUGGAGGAAAGAGGGGGAUGCUUGCAAGCCGAAGAAACACCCUCCCAACCGUGAAGCACGGGGGUGGCAGAGUCAUGUGUGGGGGUGCUUUGCUGCAGGAAGGACUUGUGCACUUCACAAAAUAGAUGCCAUCAUGAGGUAGGAAAAAUGAUGUGGAUAUAUUGAAGCAACAUCUCAAGACAUUAGUCAGGAAGUUAAAGCUUGGUUGCAAAUGGGUCUUCCAAAUGGACAAUGACCCCAGCAUACUUCCAAAGUUGUGGCAAAAUGGCUUAUGGACAACAAAGUCAAGGUAUUGGAGUGACCAUCACAAAGCCCUGAUCUCAAUCCCAUAGAAAAAUUGUGGGCAGAACUGAAAAAGCAUGUGCGAGCAAGGAGGCCUACAAACCUGACUCAGUUACAGCAGCUCUGUCAGAAGGAAUGGGCCAAAAUUUACCCAACUUAUUGUGGGAAGCUUGUGGAAGGCUACCCAACACGUUCGACCCAAGUUAAACAAUUUAAAGGCAAUGCUACCAAAUACUAAUUGAGUGUAUGUAAACUUCUGACCCACUGGGAAUGUGAUAAGAGCUGAAGUAAAUCAUUUUCUCUACUAUUACUUUGACAUUUCACAUUCUUAAAAUAAAGUGGUGAUCCUAACUGACCUAAAACAGGGAAUUUUUACUGGGAUUAAAUGUCAGGAAUUGUGAAAAACUGAGUUUAAAUGUUUUUUGGUUAAGGUUUAUGUAAACUUCCGACUUCAACUGUAAGUUCAAGAGUAAAAAUGUGCUUAACAAGUCACAUAAUAA